UUUUGAGAUGGAGUCUUGCCCUGUCGCCCAGGCUGGAGUGCAAUGGCGUGAUCUCGGCUCACUGCAACCUCCAUCUCCCAGGUUCAAGCAAUUCUCCUGCCUCCACCUCCCGAGUAGCUGGGAUUACAGGCGUGUGCCACCACGCCCGGCUAACUUUUUGUAUCUUUAGUAGAGAUGGGGUUUCAGCAUCUUGGCCAGGCUGGUCUUGAACUCCUGACCUCGUGAUCCACCUACCUCGGCCUUCCAAAGUGCUGGAAUUAUAGGCGUGAGCCACCAAGCCCGGCCUCCUCUUUAUUUUUUAUUUUGAUUUAUUUAUUUUUGAGAUGGGGGGGGUGUCUCGCUAUGUUGACCAGGCUGGUCUCGAACUCCUGGCCUCAAGCAGUUCUCCCUUCUUGGCCUCCCAAAGUGCUGGGAUUACAGACAUUAGCCACGGCGCCUGGCCUUUUUCUUCUUCUUCUUCUUUGUUGAGACAGGGUCUCAAUCUGUUGCCCAGGCUGGUCUCCAACUCCUGGGCUCAGGUGAUCCUUCCGCCUCGGCCUCCCAAAGUGCUGGGAUUACAGGCGUGAGCCAUUAAGUGUUCCCCUUAAUGACACAGCAGAUGAGAGUUUUACUGAGUAUCUCCUUGUGCCAGGCACCCUGUUGUUGCUGGGGAAGCGGAAGGGAGAGACAAUCGUUAAUCGGCUAAAUUUCUGCCUUCUGAGAGCUCAGAAUCAAGAAAUAAAUAAUAGGGCAGUAAAAGGGGCUGGGAUUACAUACAAAAAGAAAAUUAAUGCCUGAACUUUUUACAAUCUGCUCGAUAAGCUUUAAUUCUAUUAACCUAUUUGAGCUUCCCAACAACAGGCAAGCUCCCACAGCAGCUAGGAGGAUCACUUUGUCGUCAUACAAAUAGAAACAGGCUCAGAGAGGAAGUCAUUUGUUCUAGUUCUCACUAGGACAAAUCUACUGGCUACUAAAAAAGUGUGAAGGCUGGGGACAGUUUGAGUCGUCCUGCUUGCACCUUAAGCGCCUACAAGAGUGCCCGGCUAUAACAACCACAAUACCAAUAAUAAAAUUUAAAAACAGAUGUUCAGUAAGGACUUGCGGCAUUAGGACCCCAGGAGGGAAGUGACGUUCGAGGAGGCGGAGAAAGCCGCGAAGACGGCCUUCCCCACAUCUUCCAGCACCUGCGCGCCUGAAUCCGUCCCACCCAGGCCCAGACGCAGGCUUCUUCUCGGGUCUUGGUCCUGCAUCCUCUCUCUCCCAGAGCCUCCGUUAGGGGGUGGGAAAGGACUUUGCCAUAGGUCGCUGAGGCCACCAUCUGCUCUCUUACUGGCCAAGGGCGUAAAAAGAUAGUCUUCCCAUUAGCUAGAGAGCAAACCCCAGAAAGCCUAUUGGCUGCGCCGUCCGCGGGCCUUGGUCCGCUUUGAAGGCGGGCUGCGGCUGCGAGAGGAGGGCGGGCGGGAGGCUAGCUGUUGUCGUGGUUGCUCGGAGGCACGUGUGCAGUCCCGGAAGCGGCGAGGGGAAACUGCUCCGCGCGCGCCGCGGGAGGAGGAACCGCCCGGUCCUUUAGGGUCCGGGCCCGGCCGGGCCAUGGAUUCAAUGCCUGAGCCCGCGUCCCGCUGUCUUCUGCUUCUUCCCUUGCUGCUGCUGCUGCUGCUGCUGCUGCCGGCCCCGGAGCUGGGCCCGAGCCAGGCCGGAGCUGAGGAGAACGACUGGGUUCGCCUGCCCAGCAAAUGCGAAGGCUUGCGCCGGGACGCUGCGGCGGACGAGAGAUCUGGUCCCGGUACCCCUGGAGUUCACACAUUGUGUGUAAAUAUGUUGCUGUGGAGCUGAAGUCAGCCUUUGAGGAAACCGGCAAGACCAAGGAGGUGAUUGGCACGGGCUAUGGCAUCCUGGACCAGAAGGCCUCUGGAGUCAAAUACACCAAGUCCAUUUCAGAUCCCCCAGACCAGAUGACCUAUCUUCCUUCCAGCUCUGAGUCACUUCCCAUUGGGACUUGCGGUUAAUCGAAGUCACUGAGACCAUUUGCAAGAGGCUCCUGGAUUAUAGCCUGCACAAGGAGAGGACCGGCAGCAAUCGAUUUGCCAAGGGCAUGUCAGAGACCUUUGAGACAUUACACAACCUGGUACACAAAGGGGUCAAGGUGGUGAUGGACAUCCCCUAUGAGCUGUGGAACGAGACUUCUGCAGAGGUGGCUGACCUCAAGAAGCAGUGUGAUGUGCUGGUGGAAGAGUUUGAGGAGGUGAUCGAGGACUGGUACAGGAACCACCAGGAGGAAGACCUGACUGAAUUCCUCUUCUGCCAAGGAAAGACACAAGCCCCAGGAAGAACUCAGAGCCGUCAUGGGUAGCCCACGCCGUCCUUUCCCCUCCCCAAGUGUUUCUCUCCUGACCCAGGGUUCAGGCAGGCCUUGUGGUUUCAGGACUGCAAGGACUCCAGUGUGAACUCAGGAGGGGCAGGUGUCAGAACUGGGCACCAGGACUGGAGCCCCCUCCGGAGACCAAACUCACCAUCCCUCAGUCCUCCCCAACAGGGUACUAGGACUGCAGCCCCCUGUAGCUCCUCUCUGCUUACCCCUCCUGUGGACACCUUGCACUCUGCCUGGCCCUUCCCAGAGCCCAAAGAGUAAAAAUGUUCUGGUUCUG
rnacentral:lncRNA from 1 species